rnacentral:rRNA from 1 species
UACGUAGGGGGCUAGCGUUGUCCGGAAUCAUUGGGCGUAAGGCGCGCGUAGGCGGCCCGGUAAGUCCGCUGUGAAAGUCAAAGGCUCAACCUUUGAAUGUCAGCGGAUACUGCCGGGCUAGAGUCCGGAAGAGGCGAGUGGAAUUCCUGGUGUAGCGGUGGAAUGCGCAGAUAUCAGGAGGAACACCGGUGGCGAAGGCGGGUCUCUGGGCAGUAACUGACGCUGAGGAGCGAAAGCGUGGGGAGCGAACAGG